AUCUUUGUCCACAGCGGUUCUAGUGAGCAUCGGCUUUCUGUUCAUUUAGUUUGUCAGCCAUGGACAAAACUGUGCUGCUCCUGCUGUACCUGCAGGUUGUUCUGCUCAUCACUGCCUUUCCUUCGGACGCAGCUGGUCAAGUUGUAGUGAAAGGUCCAGAUCAGGUAAAAAGAUCCGCAACAGCAAUCAAACAGGUGGCAAACAGGAUGGUCAACCCAUCAAAGCAAAAACCACAGAAGAGAAAUUGUUCCUCGAGACCUGGAGGGUGCAGCAUAGGCCAGUAGUUUACCCAUCAUACAUUGCUGCAACCAGAAACUCCUUCCUGCAUUUUUCCAUUGACCUGGGUGCUUCAAUAAUCGACGCAUAUAAACUAUCACAACAACAGAUUCUCUGCAAACAUGUUGCAACAUUGCAGUUGGUGCAGCAGUCACCUCGCAUACAUGACCAAAAUAGACAGAUGUUUGAGCCAGCUCACUAGAUUUCUCUGAGAAGUCAGAAAUUAAACACAAAUAACAUUUAACCACUAAAACUAAUUUCGGAAGUAAAUAUAAGGCGGAGUAUUAGGGCCACAUUAGGAAAAUAAAAUAUUUUGAUCAAUUUGAGAAUAAAGUCAAAAUUUCAAGAUUAAAUUUGAAAAUCUAUUUUGAGCAAAGCAUCGAAAUGUUGUUGUUUCAAGACAAACUGCCAUGUUUCUUAUACCCUCUACAAAAUGCCUUGUGUAGAUGAGUUAGCCAUUUCAAAUUGUACAAAUCCACUCUUCCAAGUUUGUGUUUUUCCGUCUGACCAGAUGCAGCUUUCUGCACCAUCAUUUCAACAUCCUUUUACUUAUCACCAUAAUAUGUUUGUGUGCUAAAAGAGAAAUCAUUUCCUUCCUUGUUACUUAAGCCAAUUCUGAAGUGCAAUUUCACUCAGAGGGUACAGCAACCAUGGCUGAUUGUCUUGAAACAAAAUAGAAUUACAAUAUUAUUCUCAAAAUGAUCAUUAAUAUUUUUUUUAACCUUUAUCAAGGUUAUUUAUACUUUGUAUAAAUAACCUUGGCAUCUUAAUUUUUUUUUUAAAAUCCUAAAGCACUUAACUGUUUUCAGGUUUUUUUUGGUAAAACUAUGAAUUUGAAAAAUCGUAGAUAACAACAAUAAUUAUUUUUAUGUUAUAAAAAUGUAUAAACAUUGCAUGUUGGAGGAUUAACCACAGGAACAUACAAAGUGGUUUUGCUAAUUACCAGUACUGUGUAUUUAGGGCAGCUGUGGCGUAAACCUUCCACUGGAUAGUAAUAAUAAUUUUGUUAAGUACUGCAUGUGCUGAGUAUGAACUGGACUAAUAAAAUAUUUAAUGCACUUCA